GUCAGCAUGUGGUGCUGUUGCUACAGAGAGGUCUAAAAUUACCGGAAGUAGAAAAAACCUCUUGUUGGUGUACUGUGGCACUAACUGGUAAAACGGAAGAGAAGGACAUUUUUUGAUCCGAGACCUGGUGGAGAAGACGACUCUAUGGCCACAUGAGAGAAGAAUCCAAGUGUUCGAGGUGCCACUGCCGUUUGUUUAGCCGUUUUAUGAUGUUAGAUUUCCGCGCUGCGUUAUACUCUGAGCGCUAACCGCAUUGUUAGCCCGCCAUUUCACCGAAGCUAAGGCUUUCUASUGUUCGAAAUACGGGACAUUUAUUUCUCCAUAUAUUGAAUCUCAUUCUUUUUAUUUUGUUUCAACUCAGAGGGAACAUUGUCUUUUUGAGAAUAAAGAACCCCUUCUCUGUGAA